ACAACUAUUCUGAAAAUUAUGGAUUGCAUAGCUUCAAUUUUAUCAGUGUAGUAUUUGGCUGUCAUACCCCAAAGUUGAAUUCCAUAUGUCCAGCACUGACAAACAAAAUGGAUUGACUCAGUUUUUCACUGGUCCGUAAAAGGAAUGUUUACGUGGAAUGUUGCAGCAGUAUUUUUACAUCUAGUAGUUUGAUAUGUUUACAAAAUAUAUUUUUUUUCUAUGUUUACAUCUCAGCAUUCAAUUUCUCGCAAUCAGUCGAACAGAAAACUUAUUAACACGUCAGACAUCGAAAAAUUGUAUUGUUAGUUAAUCGACAGUGCAGAGAAUAAGAAAAAAAUACUGUAAAAGUAUGUUAUUAAAUGUUAGAAAAAGAUCCAAAAAAUUAUCACCGCAGGAUGAACAAAGAAUUAUACAGUUUGUCACAUCUGGUGAAGCUUCAAGUGCCGCCAUGGCCGAAAAAUUAUUAAAAAAAGAUACGGAUAUACAAAUAAGCAAGUGGACAGCACAAAGAACUCACAAAGGAGCUGAGUUUAGAAGCAUUAAGAAAAAAAACUUUCAAAAAUCUAAGUUUCGAGAGAAUGACACGAAUGCACAGUUUCAAGAGUAAGA